UUUUUUCGGCGAUGAAGCGUUGACUGAAUUUGGUCGCUUAGCACCCUGAGGGGGGAGAGGUCAACGUGGAGCCAAUAGCGAAACCGGCUGAUUUCA
rnacentral:ncRNA from 13 species